rnacentral:rRNA from 1 species
GACGAACGCUGGCGGCGUGCCUAACACAUGCAAGUCGAGCGGUGCGGGGAACGGGUGAGUGACGCGUGAGUAACCGCCCCCCUCUCUGGGAUAAAAGUUGGAAACGGCUGCCAAUACCGGAUAGUAGGGGAUGACUCGGGGCCUAUCAGCUUGUGGGGGGGGGAGUGGCCUACCAAGGCGACGACGGGUAGCCGGCCUGGGAGGGGAACCGGCGACAUGGGGCUGAGGGACGCACCAGAGUGCAACGGGGGGCAGUAGGGGAGAAUCUUGCACAAGGGGGGCGACCCUGAUGCACGACCCCGGGUGCGGGAAGCCGGUCAUGUGGUUGUGAACGGCUGUCAGCGAUGACGCGGUAGUGACAGAAUAAGCACCGGCUAACUACGUGCCAGCAGCCGCGGUAAUUC